CACGUAGGGCGCAAGCGUUGUCCGGAAUUAUUGGGCGUAAAGAGCUCGUAGGCGGACUGUCACGUCCGCUGUGAAAAGCUAGGGCUUAACCCUGGCCUUGCAGUGGAUACGGGCAGACUAGAGGUAGGUAGGGGAGAAUGGAAUUCCCGGUGUAGCGGUGAAAUGCGCAGAUAUCGGGAGGAACACCUGUGGCGAAAGCGGCUCACUGGACCAUUACUGACGCUGAUGCUCGAAAGCUAGGGAGCAACAGGG
rnacentral:rRNA from 1 species